ACCCGCUGAACUUAAGCAUAUCAAUAAGCGGAGGAAAAGAAACCAACAGGGAUUGCCCCAGUAACGGCGAGUGAAGCGGCAACAGCUCAAAUUUGAAAUCUGGCUCCUUCGGGGUCCGAGUUGUAAUUUGCAGAGGAUGUUUCGGUGCGGGCUCCUGGCCAAGUUCCUUGGAACAGGACGCGCUAAAGGGUGAGAGCCCCGUACCCGCCAGGGUCGCCCGCGCCAUGUGAAACUCCUUCGACGAGUCGAGUUGUUUGGGAAUGCAGCUCUAAAUGGGAGGUAAAUUUCUUCUAAAGCUAAAUACCGGCCAGAGACCGAUAGCGCACAAGUAGAGUGAUCGAAAGAUGAAAAGCACUUUGGAAAGAGAGUUAAACAGCACGUGAAAUUGUUGAAAGGGAAGCUCUUGCAACCAGACUUGACCGCCGUUGCUCAGCCGUCCUUUUGGACGGUGUACUCUUCGGCGGACAGGCCAGCGUCAGUUUGGGCGGCCGGACAAAGGCCUUGGGAAUCGUAGCUCCUCUCGGGGAGUGUUAUAGCCCAGGGCGUAAUGCGGCCAGCCCGGACUGAGGACCGCGCAUUUGCUAGGAUGCUGGCGUAAUGGUUGU
rnacentral:rRNA from 1 species